UGCGUCGCAUUAGUUAGUUGGCGGUGUAACGGACCACCAAGACGACGAUGCGUAGGGGUUCUGAGAGGAAGGUCCCCCACACUGGUACUGAGACACGGACCAGACUCCUACGGGAGGCAGCAGUGAGGAAUAUUGGUCAAUGGGCGGGAGCCUGAACCAGCCAAGUCGCGUGAGGGAUGACGGCCCUAUGGGUUGUAAACCUCUUUUGCCGGGGAGCAAAGUGCCGCACGUGUGCGGUUUGGAGAGUACCCGGAGAAAAAGCAUCGGCUAACUCCGUGCCAGCAGCCGCGGUAAUACGGAGGAUGCGAGCGUUAUCCGGAUUUAUUGGGUUUAAAGGGUGCGUAGGCGGACGCUUAAGUCAGCGGUAAAAUUGCGGGGCUCAACCUCGUCGAGCCGUUGAAACUGGGUGCCUUGAGUGGGCGAGAAGUACGCGGAAUGCGUGGUGUAGCGGUGAAAUGCAUAGAUAUCACGCAGAACUCCGAUUGCGAAGGCAGCGUACCGGCGCCCAACUGACGCUGAAGCACGAAGGCGUGGGUAUCGAACAGGAUUAGAUACCCUGGUAGUCCACGCAGUAAACGAUGAAUGCUAGUUGUCCCGGGCGAUUGAGUUCUGG
rnacentral:rRNA from 1 species